rnacentral:sRNA from 1 species
CAGCAGCAGCAGCAGCAGCAGCAGCAGCGGCCAUUGCUAAGUUUCCAAAGCUUCUGCUGCUGCUGCUGCUGCUG